rnacentral:rRNA from 1 species
CCUACGGGAGGCAGCAGUGGGGAAUAUUGGGCAAUGGGCGCAAGCCUGACCCAGCAACGCCGCGUGAAGGAAGAAGGCUGUCGGGUUGUAAACUUCUUUUCUCAGGGACGAAGCAAGUGACGGUACCUGAGGAAUAAGCCACGGCUAACGACGGGCCAGCAGCCGCGGUAAUACGUAGGUGGCAAGCGUUAUCCGGAUUUACUGGGUGUAAAGGGCGUGUAGGCGGGACUGCAAGUCAGAUGUGAAAACCCUUGGCUCAACCUAUGGCCUGCCUUGGAAACGGUAGUUCUUGAGUACUGGAGAGGCAGCCGUACUUCCUCGUGUAGCGGUUAAAUGCGUAGAUAUUAGGCGGAACCCCAGUGGCGAUGGCGGUCUGCUUGACAGCACCUGACGCUGAGGCGCGACAGCGUGGGGAGCAAACAGGAUUAGCUACCCGUGUAGUC